rnacentral:rRNA from 1 species
UACAGAGGGUGCGAGCGUUUAUCGGAAUUCCUGGGCGUAAAGGGCGCGUGGGUGGUUGAUUAAGUCAGAUGUGAAAUCCCUGGGCUUAACCUAGGAAUGGCAUUUGAAACUGAUUGGCUAGAGUAUGGGAGAGGGAAGUGGAAUUUCCGGUGUAGCGGUGAAAUGCGUCGAUAUCGGAAGGAACACCAGUGGCGAAGGCGACUUCCUGGCCCAUUACUGACACUGAGGAGCGAAAGCUUGGGGAGCGAACAGG